AAUGAAUAUUUGUAUAUUUGUGUAGAAUAUAGUUCACACUACACUAAACAUGAUAUUGCAUUAUACUUUAAUGAACUUUUAUACAAUGAAUCAAAAUAUAAUAGAACUAAUAUAAAUGAAUCACACUGCGCCAGACGCAUUAUUUGGAGUAAUAUGGUAAGUUUAGGCAUUGCCUUGCAGAGCAUUAUUCUGUUUUCCUAUACGUGGAGGAACUGAAAUACCACAAUUAUGGUGCCUUUCCUUGUUUUUCGUCGGUUUUUUUCACUUUUACAAAUUCAAUAGAAAGAACUUUUAUAUGGUUCGCCUUCUUGAGUUAUCCAAUAUUAGCAAAUAUAUGUAACGUGCUCUUUCAGUAACUCGGAAUUCUUGUCACAAAAGAUCUGAACCAUUGACUGCUUCCUUUCUUUCGUGUAUUUGAAGCAACUAGAGGAAGAGAAAAAUAAAAAUAAAGGAAAAAAGAACCUUAAAAUGUGGUGCUAGCUUUCUGAAAUCAUUCAAUUGCUUAACAUGUAGUAUAUCCAAAUUACACGUAACAAGUUGUGCUACAUGCACUGGGUGUCUCCUUUGCCUCCUAAAAAUUAAAGAGUUUAAAACUUGAAGUAAGUAAGAGUGGAAAUUAAAUUAUCAUGUUAGGAAAGACACAGUGAUUGAGCAAAAACUUUGCUAUUUAAAAACUUUGCAUAAGAUAUAUAUAUAUAUGAACUCACUGAUUCAAAAUUUUAAGGCAGGUGAAAAGAUUUUGCAGAAAACCCAAUAGCUAGAACGGACAGAACAAUACUAAUUUUUUUUUUAGACAUAAUCUAUUCAAUUUCUUCCUUUUCUUACCUUUUGCAGCAAGUUUCUAUGCGUAUUAUUUGUGGUAAGCUAGAAUCUUGAGUCAAAACUAGUGAUGGGAUAUUGGGGAAAACCAACUAGAUUGUCAUUGACCGAAGUCAAUCUAUUUCGUUUCCUUCUUUUUUUUAUUUAGACAUAAUCUAUUCAAUUUCUUCCUUUUUCUUACCUUUUGCAGCAAGUUUCUAUGCGUAUUAUUUGUGCUAAGCUAGAAUCUUGAGUCAAAACUAGUGAUGGGAUAUUGGGGAAAACUAAAUAGAUUGUCAUUGACCGAAGUCAAUCUAUUUCGUUUCCUCCAAUUCUCGCCUUCAAUUGCCAGUAUUUUUCACAAAAGCUUCAUCCAUUAUGUAUAAACGAGUGAAGGGUGGACAUGAAAUAUUGGAGGAAAUUAAACAAUAACAAGAGAGUAUGUUAAUGUGUUUGUUUAAUUCCCUCCAAUUUUCACAUACAGCAUUCACAGUGACAGACUUGAAAACAAGACACCCGAAACAAUGUGGCGAUGGCCAGUAUAAUUUAUAGACCUUCUUACGCAGCAAGGCAGCACAGAAACAGAAUCCACAAGACUUGCAUGAACAUUGAGCAACAAACUCAUGAAGUACUCUCAAAUGGAAUGGAAGGAUGCCAAAUUGAUGGGCCGGUCCGGUUUUUCCCAAGCCCGGACCCAACCCAUUAUAUGGCCAUUCAGAUUGUGCACUGUAUAGUCAUUGAAUUAUUGGAGAGCAAAGCUCCAAACACUUCUUUAAAACUCUUAUGAAACCCCACUUGUUAUAUAUAUAACCCUUACUUCAAUGAAAGUUACAGAAAAAAUGACAAAAGGUUAUAA
rnacentral:lncRNA from 1 species